AUGGGAGUAACAACAACAAUAACAAAAAAGCACAUGCUGCUCAGCGGCUUCUGAAAGUUCCUGAUCCACAGUGUCAAGGAACUGGAAGUGCUGUUGCCGUGCAAGAAAUCUUACCGUGCUGAGAUCACUCGGUGUUUCCUCCAAGAACAGCACAGCUAUGGUGGAAAGAGCAGCCCAGCUGGCCCUCAGAGUCACCAGUCCUAAUGCCAGGCUGUGCGGCGGGGAAAAUGA
rnacentral:lncRNA from 1 species